rfam:Heterocephalus glaber contig7441, whole genome shotgun sequence.
GGGAAACGGGAGGAGGGGCCCUCCCCAGGCCCCACAACAAUGUUAUGGGGCA